rnacentral:rRNA from 1 species
ACUCAAAUGAAUUGACGGGGGCCCGCACAAGCGGUGGAGCAUGUGGUUUAAUUCGAUGCAACGCGCAGAACCUUACCAGGCCUUGACAUGGGUAGUAUGGGCUCCGGAGACGGGGUCCUUCAGUUCGGCUGGCUACCACACAGGUGCUGCAUGGCUGUCGUCAGCUCGUGUCGUGAGAUGUUGGGUUAAGUCCCGCAACGAGCGCAACCCUCGCUUUCAGUUGCCAUCAUUCAGUUGGGCACUCUGAAGGAACUGCCGGUGACAAGCCGGAGGAAGGUGGGGAUGACGUCAAGUCCUCAUGGCCCUUACGGCCUGGGCUACACACGUGCUACAAUGGCGGUGACAGUGGGCAGCUACCCCGCGAGGGGAUGCUAAUCCAUAAAAGCCGUCUCAGUUCGGAUUGCACUCUGCAACUCGAGUGCAUGAAGUUGGAAUCGCUAGUAAUCGCGGAUCAGCAUGCCGCGGUGAAUACGUUCUCGGGCCUUGUACACACCGCCCGU